UGUAAAUUGGCUGAAGCACUUAGGCUGUUCUACUUGAGCUCCCCAAAGGAGGCAGAAGCUAGGAUGUCUACUCUGCUGCUCAUUACCACCAUGCAGCAGCUCUCGAGGAGUGCUUUGAUGACUUAUUCUCAUGGAGUAAAUGAUGAAAGGAAAUUUGAAGUUGCAGCAUAAUCAAGUGAUAAUACCCAAAGAAAGGUGCAAUGUCAAGUCAAUGACAAGUCAAAAGAAUAAUUUGAACAUGGCCUGGCAAGGAGGUUCAUCAGACAAAGGCACCUGCUAGAACACCUCACUGUCUGAGUUUGGUCCCUGGGACCCACAUGGUGGCAGAGGAGAAGAGACCCCUCUUUGACUAAUAUAGAAGUUGCCAUUCUCUUGCCUUAGCUUUCUGGGUGGUGGAUUACAGAAUCAUACAAAGGUAGAAGGAACUCUGGUUCAGGAGGAAGAAGAA